rnacentral:rRNA from 1 species
AUUGAACGCUGGCGGCAGGCUUAACACAUGCAAGUCGAGCGGAGCGAGGGUGCUUGCACCUUAGCUUAGCGGCGGACGGGUGAGUAAUGCUUAGGAAUCUGCCUAUUAGUGGGGGACAACAUUCCGAAAGGGAUGCUAAUACCGCAUACGCCCUACGGGGGAAAGCAGGGGAUCUUCGGACCUUGCGCUAAUAGAUGAGCCUAAGUCGGAUUAGCUAGUUGGUGGGGUAAAGGCCUACCAAGGCGACGAUCUGUAGCGGGUCUGAGAGGAUGAUCCGCCACACUGGGGCUGAGACACGGCCCAGACUCCUACGGGAGGCAGCAGUGGGGAAUAUUGGACAAUGGGCGGAAGCCUGAUCCAGCCAUGCCGCGUGUGUGAAGAAGGCCUUUUGGUUGUAAAGCACUUUAAGCGAGGAGGAGGCUACUAGUAUUAACACUACUGGAUAGUGGACGUUACUCGCAGAAUAAGCACCGGCUAACUCUGUGCCAGCCGCCGCCGUAAUAC